CUGGCAUAAGAAAAGACACAUAGACCAGUGGAAUAGCAUUGAGAUCCCAUAAAUAAGCCAUUAUAGAUAUGGGCAAAUAAUUUUUGACAAAGCAGCCAAAAACAUACA